AUGCAGUCGAGCGGUAGAGAGAAGCUUGCUUCUCUUGAGAGCGGCGGACGGGUGAGUAAUGCCUAGGAAUCUGCCUGGUAGUGGGGGAUAACGUUCGGAAACGAACGCUAAUACCGCAUACGUCCUACGGGAGAAAGCAGGGGACCUUCGGGCCUUGCGCUAUCAGAUGAGCCUAGGUCGGAUUAGCUAGUUGGUGGGGUAAUGGCUCACCAAGGCGACGAUCCGUAACUGGUCUGAGAGGAUGAUCAGUCACACUGGAACUGAGACACGGUCCAGACUCCUACGGGAGGCAGCAGUGGGGAAUAUUGGACAAUGGGCGAAAGCCUGAUCCAGCCAUGCCGCGUGUGUGAAGAAGGUCUUCGGAUUGUAAAGCACUUUAAGUUGGGAGGAAGGGCCAUUACCUAAUANGUGAUGGUUUUGACGUUACCGACAGAAUAAGCACCGGCUAACUCUGUGCCAGCAGCCGCGGUAAUACAGAGGGUGCAAGCGUUAAUCGGAUUACUGGGCGUAAGCGCGCGUAGGUGGUUGUUAGUGAUGUGAAUCCCGGGCUCACCUGGGACUGCAUC
rnacentral:rRNA from 1 species